rnacentral:lncRNA from 1 species
AGGAAACUAGGUGGAAAUUGUAGUGAACACAGAGACCCAACACAGGUCACGCCACUCCUUGUAUGCCUGUAGUCUGAAUGUUCUGAACUUUAUGAUGAUCUAGGUUGUAAAUGGAACAAUGGAUGAUCAUUCUGCUGAUCAUUAGUACGUGAUGACCACUAACUCAGAUCAACUGACUCUUUGCCUUUGUCCUUUUCCUGUAAGUUUUAAGUGUAAACCCCCCUUUCAGCCCUAUAUAAAAUGGCCUCUGUUUCUGAGCUGGCCACCUCUCUGAACUACUUGGCUUGGGGAGUGCCGUCUGGCCAGACUAAUAAAGGUCUAUUUGCCAACUUGCCUGGUGUGUUCCUUCCUGGGUGACUCUUGCUGUGUGACAAGCUCCUGGAGCCUCGCUGAGCUUCUGAGCUCAGCAUCGUGGAAGCCUCUUGGCUGUUCAUGCUCCAGGAGUAAAAGUGAGACUUAAGUCUUACAUCUUGGAGGCCCCAGCAAGAUCCCCAGGUGGGAACUAUAAAUCCGACCGAAAUUCUCUGUCGCAGGACAAGCUCCUGGAGCCUCGCUGAGCUGCUGAGCCCAGCAUCGUGAAGGCCUCUUGGCUGUUCGUGAAGGCCUCUUGGCUGUUCACGCUCCAGGAAUAUCCAGCAGGAGAUUCUCAAACAUAGACCUGAAAAGCCUCCGGAGGUUUGACUCCAAAACCUUGGAACCACGGUGGAAGGGACCUUUUCCAGUUGUCCUGUCUACUCCUCUGACUGUGAAGGUUGCAGGACACCCGACGUGGAUCCAUCGCAACCACCUCAAGCCCGGACCAGACAACAGCCCGGAGGCACAUGGAAAAUGGAGCAUCGUCAACAGACCCGGAGAAUUGAAAGUAAAACUCCCCUCAACUGGACCUUCAUUAUGAUCUGGAUAAUUUCCCUUGAGACAAUAAUAGCAUUGUCCAAAGAGGACUUAGGUCAUACUAAAAAUGUUUGGAUACAACUAGCUGAAUCCUUAAAUUUGUCUAAAAUAUGUUUAAAUGCUGAUAUAAAUUUUCAUUAUGUGCUUGGAAAUUAUUUGGUUCCAAUAUACACCCCACUUGAAGAUAUUAGACCAUAUACUAUGUUCAAAAAUUUCCCACAAGUAAAUCUCAGUUAUUUAGAUAGUUACAAUUGCGGACAGGUGACAUGUUACAAACCAAAGAAUGCUAUUAAGCUAUAUACCCAUCGAGUAGCUAUGUCCAAUAAGACUCUCUGUGCCAAAUAUAAAGGUUGUGAGAGGGUCAAAAAUAUGUGCUGCUUCAAUUUAACAAAUAAUGGGCCAGCUAUAAAACAAGACAUAGAAAAGCUCAAAGAUUUAGCUACAAAGAUUCAUAAUGAAUGGAUAGGAUGGGAUUUGUUUAAAUGGUUAACAAGUUGGUUUCCUGACAUUACCUGGAUAAAACAACUGAUACUCUGUAUAAUGGCAUUAAGAUUAUAUAUUAUAAUAACUUGUUAUCUUUUACAAUGUGUUCCAUUAAUAAGGCCCAGAGUCAGAUAUAAGUAAAUCAAAGAUUUGAUUCAGGUCCAAAAAUCAGUGGGGAAUGUGGGAGCCUGGCUGAACCAGAGCGACUCCAUCUUGACCAGUGAAUGACCUAGAGACUGUCGCUCUCCCCCUCCCUUAUAGGAUAACUAAUGAUUAAUUGUGAAUUGUUAGGUGGCUGUUUUGAAGUAGCUAGGAAACUAGGUGGAAAUUGUAGUGAACACAGAGACCCAACACAGGUCACGCCACUCCUUGUAUGCCUGUAGUCUGAAUGUUCUGAACUUUAUGAUGAUCUAGGUUGUAAAUGGAACAAUGGAUAAUCAUUCUGCUGAUCAUUAGUAUGUGGACGACCACUAACUCAGAUCAACUGACUCUUUGCCUUUGUCCUUUUCCUGUAAGUUUUAAGUGUAAACCCCCCUUUCAGCCCUAUAUAAAAUGGCCUCUGUUUCUGAGCU